rnacentral:rRNA from 1 species
UACAUGGUUGAUCUUGCCAGUAGUCAUAUACUCGUCUCAUAGAUUAAGCCAUGAAUGUAUUUGUAUAAACUUUUUUGUACUGUAAAAUUGGGAAUGGCUCAUUAAAUCAGUUAUAGUUUCUUUGAUGGUACCUUGCUAUUCGGAUAAUCAUAGUAACUCUAGAGCUAAUAUAUGCACAAACUCCCAACUUUCGGGAAGGGAUGUAUUUAUUAGAUAAAAAACCAAUGCGGUGUCAUAUUACAUGUUGUUAUGCUCAAGAAUGCACCGGGCAUCUAACUGUGGAAGAUGAGAUUGUGUUUCACAAGCAACCAAGAAAUCCUAAUAGAUUUCAUCCAUACGAGAAGAAUAUAAUCUGAAAUUCAAUUCAAAAGUGCUAAAAACACUCUUCUUAGAAGUCUUAACUAUACAUAAAUCCCAAUUACCUUGUUACUUUUAUAUUUAAGUAAUUUAGAUUUUUCUUGUAAGCCCCAGUCCUAAUUAGUUAGCUUUAAUAAGCUGUAACAUCCAAUCUGACCAUCUACUUAAUAUAGAGUUUUGCAUGCAAUUGUCAAUGUAAGUCUUCUAUAUGCUUAAGAAUUUUUAGCCCAAUCCAACUUACAAAUUGUGAGAAAACCUCCAAAAAUUGCACUAAUGUUACUUUGUCGCUAACUUGAAAAGUAAAGCAAAAAUCCUAGCAGAGAUUUCUCCCUUUUCAAUAGUUAAAUUUGUCUCAAAAUUAUUUUUUAGCUUGAUCUUUAAAUCUUUUAACACCAUGCCAAUUUUCAACUUAAUCUGACUAAUAGAUCUUGAGAUAUCAUAGAAAUCCUAUCCAACUUCAAAUUGCUAGCUUUCAAAAUCCUCUUGUGCUAAAAACUAGAUAUCUCUAAACCACGCCAUUAGAUUAUCAUAAAAUUUUCUAUACACUUAGCACAUCCAAUAAUCCAAACAAUAUCAAACUUUCAAUUAUAGAUAUUAUACCAAUUGCAUGAACUAGUUAAAAUUGCUAGCCCUAAUUAUAUUAUAUAAAAUCCAAAUUAUUGAUACAAACCCUAACUUCAAAUAACAAUUAUUAAGUCUUCAAAAACCUUCCAAAAAAAAUUCUUAUGCCAUUGAAAAGAACUUCAAGCUAGCUCUCAAAUCCUAUCCUUUGAUCUUCAAAUGAAUCCCUAACUUGCCCUGAGCGGUCAUUUUAGUGACCAGAGGUCUGAUUUUGACCCUGUCUCACAAAUGGUUGACCCUGGGGUAUCAAUCUAACUUAUCCUAAGUAUUUUUUAGCCCAAUUCUAUCCUUAACUUGAUCCUAGUAUCAACCAUAUCAACCAUUUACUUCUUCUACUCUGAUUUUAUUAAUUUAUGGUCUUUCUAAGGUAAUAGAAGAGUCUCUAUAACCUAGAAGGUAAAAUUACUAAUUAACCUUCAACCUACUAACUAUUAAGAUAAAAAAAUAACAUAAGAGGCUUUCAUAAAAGCCAUGUUUAGAUACCUCAAAUUAUAAUUGAACUAAAAUAAUUAGAUAUUAAUUAGAAAUUUAAUUUUGAUUAUAAUUUCACUAUAUAGUCAUAUUACAUCACAACAGCAAGUUUACUUGGUGUUGCAAUGAAUCAUAAUAACUUUGUUGAAUUGCACGGCCUUGGCACUAGCAAUGUUUCAUUCAAAUUUCUAUCCUAUCAACUUUCAAUGGUUAGAUAGAUGCCUACCAUGGUUGUAAUGGAUGACGAAGAAUUAGGAUUUGAUUCCAAAGAGGGAGCUUGAGAAACGGCUACCACAUCCAAUGAAGGCAGCAAGGGUGCAAAUUAUUUAAUCCCGAUUCAAGGAAGUAGUGACAAUAAAUAAGAAUACUAGGCUUUUACAAGUCAAGUAAUUGGAAUGUGUAUAAUAUAAAUCUUUUAACAAAGAUCUAUUAGAGGACAAGUGUGAUGCUAGAAGCCACGAUAAUUCUAACUCUAAUAAUAUAUAUUUAAGUUGUUGUAGUAAAAAAGCUUGUAGUUGGAUCUUGGAUCGAGGAAAAUAGUUUGCCUCUUGUGGAUGUGUACUGAUCCGCUCAACCUUCUUGUUGGAGAUGUGCUCCCGAUUUUAAUUAAUCAGGAUGCAGAGUUGAUGAUGUUACUUUAAAAAAUUAAAGUACUCAAAGCAAGCCUAUGCUUUGAAUUCAUUAGUAUGGAAUAACGUGAUAAGACUUUGGUCUUAUUUGUAUUGGUCUUUGAGACUAGAGUAAUGCUUAAUAUGGACAAUUGGAGGUAUUUGUAUUUCAUUAUCAAAGGUAAAAUUCUUGGAUUUAUAAAAAAAAAACGUCUGUAAAAGCAUUUAUCAAUGAUGUUUUUAUUAAUCAAGAAUAAAAUUUGGAGGCUCAAAGACGAUCAGAUACCAUCGUAGUCUCAAUCUUAAAUGAUGUCGACUAAGGAUUGACAGAUGUUACUUUGAUGACUCCGCUAGUACCUUAUGAGAAAUCAAAGUUUUUGGAUUUUAGAAAAAUAUGAUAGCAAAGUUGAAACUUAAAAGAAUUGAUAAAAAAAACACCACCAAGAGUGGAACCUGUGACUUAAUUUGAUUCAACAUGGAAAAACUUACCAGAUCCAGAUAUUGUGAGGAUUCACAAAUUUAGAGCUCUUUCUUGAUUCUAUGGGUGGUGGUGCAUGGCUAUUGUUAGUUGGUUAAGUGAUUUGUCUAUUUAAUUCUAUUAACAAAUGACACCUUAGUCUGCUAAUUAGUUACACAAAAGAUUUUUUUUAUUUGCAACCAACUUCUUUGAGGGACUAUCAGUGUCUAGCUAAUAGAAGUUUGAGGCAAUAACAAGUUUGUGAUGCCCUUAGAUGUUCUCGGCCACAUACGAUGUUGUACUAUAAUUUCUUAUAAUAUGUAAAAUUUAAUUAAAAUAAAUUAUAAGUUCAUAAUUCUUAGUGUGUAUUAGAAUGGUUAAUAAAUUAAUUUAAAGAGAGUAGAUAUAAAAAAAUUUAUUUUGAGUUUUAUAUAUUUUGAUUAUAAUAUUUUAAAAAUUAUAAGAUCUAAAUAUUUAGUGUGAAGCCUUGAAAAGAGAUUAGAGCCUAAAGAUGAUAUUCUAAACUAUUACGAGGAUUAUUGAGAAAGUUAAAAAUAAAGUAUGGUUGAAUAAAGGCAAGCUAUGAAGUUCUUCAUCCCUAUUGAUCGAAGGCAAUAUUCAAUGGGCUUCAAGGAGGCUGCGUGAGGCCUUAUUAGGAAUUAGGGUUUUUUUUUCGAGGUUAUUUGAGCUUUAAAAGAUAGGAUCAGUAAUUUUAGGUUUUUGGAUAUGGAUAGGAUACAAAUUUUGUAUGAUUUGGAGUUUUUAUGAAGGAGUUAUUGGUGCUCAAAGUUAAGGUAUCAAUUUCAUACCUAUUAUCACUCUUUGGAGUAUAACAUAUGCUUACAAAGAACAAUGAAGGAUCAAUGACUGAGAUUGGAGAGAGCACUUUUUUGACUUUAUUUUUUAUAUAUUUUUUGAUGAAUUUGAAGUUUAGAUGAAGAUGUUACAUAGAGUUGAAGUCAAUACAUCCAAAUCAAAGGCAAUAAGUGAGUGAUUUUAUUCAUAAUAAUAGUUGGAGCCAUAUCUUGAGUUUCUUGACAAAUUUUUGGCUCAAAUCUUUUAGAGAAGGUAGAUUAUUAUGUUAAAAAGCUAUAUAUAUAAAUUUUGUGGCAUUUAAAUACUUAUUUUGUGAGAUUUAAAGAAAAUUGCACGUAAGUGUAUAAAAACUAGGAUUUGAAGCUAGUAUUAGGAUUUUGGCAAUAUCUUAAGAUCUGCAACAAAUUUACAAUUGAAAUUUGUUGUCUUAGUUUUUAAAAAUACAUCAAUAAUUUAUAUAAAAUUUAAGUAUGUUUGAAUAGUUCAAUUGAGAGAUAUGAGUUGUUGAAGUUUGGAAAUAAUAUCCUAUAAGGAUAUAUAAGGAUUUAGAGUUUUUAAUCAUAUUUUGGAUAUUUUUAGAAACUUAAGACUUAUAUAUUUGGUCUAAUUACUCCUAAAAGUAACAUAUAUAUAUAUAUAUAUAUAUAUAUAUACAUAUGAACUUGGUCUUUCUUAUUUCAAGAUUUGAUUGAACAAUUAGUAACAGCUAAGAGCCCACUAUUUUUUUGAGGCAAAUUCUCUCUACUUCAACAUAAUGGUGCUUCAUUGAUGAAUUCACUGAGUUUAUAACCUUGAUUGAUAGGUCUUAGUAAUCUUUUGAAAUUUUAUUGUGAUGAAAAUAGAUCAUUAUAAUUAUUGAUCUUCAACAAGGAAUUCUUAAUAAGUGCAAGUCAUCAGCUUGCAUUGACUAUGUCCUUGUCCUUUGUAUACACUGCCCAUUGCUCCUACUGAUUGAAUAAUCUAGUGAAGUCUUUAGAUUGCAUCGAUGUUGGCAGUUUGCUGUCAAUGACGUUGAAAGAAGUUCAUUAAAUCUUAUCAUUUAGAAGAAGGAGAAGUUGUAAUAAGGUUUCCAUAGGUGAACCUACGGAAAGAUCAUUA